AACCUAGCACACCUGCGGUGUGUACCUGCGGAAGGAUCAUUACACAAUAAACAUAUGAAGGCUGCACCGCCAACAGGCGGCAAGGCUGGAGUAUUUUAUUACCCUUGUCUUUUGCGCACUUGUUGUUUCCUGGGCGGGUUCGCCCGCCUCCAGGACCACAUGAUAAACCUUUUUUAUGCAGUUGCAAUCAGCGUCAGUACAACAAAUGUAAAUCAUUUACAACUUUUAGCAAUGGAUCUC
rnacentral:misc_RNA from 1 species